AACGCAAAUUGCGCUCGAGGCUUCGGCCAAGAGCAUGUCUGCCUCAGCGUCGGGUUAAAACUCGCGCCAAAAUUACUAUUUAAUUAGUAAUGGCGGCGUGGAACUGACUCUCCCGUGUGGGUUUUAAUUAACUCACGCGGGUUAGUUGAAGUUUUCAGUUGCUGCAACAUGGACCCGUCUAAUGGGCCUCUACUGGGUAGGCAGUUUUAAUUGCUACAUGCUUUAGUAGACGGCUUUGGGUUUAUGACCUUUGCUGGCACAAACCAGGAAAAUUAUUAACCUUUUUUCUCGACCUGAGCUCAGGCAAGAUUACCCGCUGAACUUAA
rnacentral:misc_RNA from 1 species